GACGAACGCUGGCGGCGUGCUUAACACAUGCAAGUCGAACGGAAAGGCCCUGCUUUUGUGGGGUGCUCGAGUGGCGAACGGGUGAGUAACACGUGAGUAACCUGCCCUUGACUGUGGGAUAACUUCAGGAAACUGGGGCUAAUACCGGAUAGGAGCUCCUGCUGCAUGGUGGGGGUUGGAAAGUUUCGGCGGUUGGGGAUGGACUCGCGGCUUAUCAGCUUGGUGGUGGGGUAGUGGCCUACCAAGGCUUCGACGGGUAGCCGGCCUGCGGGGGUGGCCGGCCACACUGGGACUGCGAUACGGCCCAGACUCCUACGGGAGGCAGAAGUGGGGAAUAUUGCACAAUGGGCGGAAGCCUGAUGCAGCGACGCCGCGUGCGGGAUGACGGCCUUCUUGUUGUAAACCGCUUUCGCCUGUGACGAAGCGUGAGUGACGGUAAUGGGUAAAGAAGCACCGGCUAACUACGUG
rnacentral:rRNA from 1 species